GAUGAACGCUGACAGAAUGCUUAACACAUGCAAGUCUUUGGCGAAGCUGUGCUCGCACAGCCUAGCCAAGGCGGACGGGUGAGUAACGCGUAAGGAACUUGCCCUGCAGUCAGGGAUAACAGACGGAAACGACUGAUAAGACCUGGUAAAGUCAGGCGGACUCAUGUCCAGCCUGAUGAAAAGAGAUGCUGCAGGAGAGCCUUGCGUCCUAUUAGCUUGUUGGUGGGGUAACGGCCCACCAAGGCGAUGAUAGGUAGCCGGCCUGAGAGGGUGGACGGCCACAAGGGGACUGAGAUACGGCCCUUACUCCUACGGGAGGCAGCAGUGGGGAAUAUUGGACAAUGGGGGCAACCCUGAUCCAGCAAUUCUGUGUGCACGAUGAAGGUUUUCGGAUUGUAAAGUGCUUUCAGCAGGGAAGAAAAAAAUGACGGUACCUGCAGAAGAAGCGACGGCUAAAUACGUG
rnacentral:rRNA from 1 species